rnacentral:tRNA from 1 species
GCGGGGUUAGCUCAGCUGGUCAGAGCGCCACCCUUACAAGGUGGAAGCCGCAGGUUCGAGUCCUGCACCCCGCACCA